AUACGGAGGAUGCAAGCGUUAUCCGGAUUUAUUGGGUUUAAAGGGUGCGUAGGCGGAUGAUUAAGCGUGAGGUGAAAUGCCACUGCUCAACAGUGGAACUGCCUCGCGAACUGGUUGUCUUGAAUGCUCCUGCCGUGGGAGGAAUGUGUGGUGUAGCGGUGAAUGCAUAGAGAUCACACAGAACACCGAUUGCGAAGGCAUCUCACGAAGGGGUGAUUGACGCUGAGGCACGAAAGCGUGGGGAUCAAACAGGAUUAGAUACCCUGGUAGUCCACGCAGUAAACGAUGAUAACUAACCGCUGGGUCGUAGUGAUUCAGUGGCCAAGCGAAAGCGAUAAGUUAUCCAGCUGGGGAGUACGACCGCAAGGUUGAAACUCAAAUGAAUUGACGGGG
rnacentral:rRNA from 1 species